ACCACCCUGUAACAAAGAACAGAACAAGUUAGAUAAAAUCUUUAUACAUAUAUAUAUAUAUGUAUAUAUUUAUCUAUUUGAAUAAAAUAUCUGCUGAUAAUAUUAAAUUGCAUUUUUGUAUUUAACUAUGUAUACAAAAUUGAAUUAUAGUAAUAGAUAUAUAUAUAUGUAUAGAAAGAUGAAGAAAAGUAUGAUUGGAAAAUAAUAAGUAGAUUUUUAUGUAUUUAAUGCACAUAAUAUGCGAAAAUACAUAAAAUAGCUAACAUGCAAUAUUUAUUCUUCACAUAAGUACGAUAUUUACCCUUUAUAAUAUUUAAUGGAUAAUUCGAAAAUUAUGAUAUAAAUAUUUGCAAGCAUUUGUUAUAUUAUUUACACCAGAAGUUUGAAGAUUAAAUAACAACGCUGUUUAUUCCACUAACAUAACUUUGUUAUAUUGGCGCAAAGAUUUAUAGAUAGUUCAAGUUAAAGAUAUUUAUAUUCCUGUAAAAUCGAAAGCCUCCAUAAUCCAAAUUAUUAUUAAAGCACAGACAUGUACUUGUGGUUUUUGUUCGAAAAAUUAAUACGAAGAGAAUGUAAUAAUAAUUUUGAUAAAAGCAUUUGUCUUCCAUUUCGGAUUAUUUAUUAAAUAUAUAACGUAUGGAUGUCGUUGCGAAAAAAGAAAUGCCGUCUUUCAAAACGAUAAGAUUAUCGAUAUAUUUUUUAAUUCCGCCUAUUAACCAAGCACUUUUGCUGAAUAUAUUGGGUAAGGCAAGAUCUAUAGAUUUUAGGUCAAACGAUGCCUUUUUAAUUCAGUGGCAAUCCGGUUUGUACGAUUUCGCGUUAUCACGAAGUAGAAAUCGCUCGAAGAUGAUGGUCGGAGUCACUUUAAAUUAUACGACAAGAUAUUUUUACAUUUGUGUCGUAUUUUUAUCCAGACACGUUUUCGAUACUCGUCUUCGAUCGUCUAAAGUCGUUUAAAACGAGAUACGCCGUCCGAUUUGAAACCACCAUCUCUAAGCCUUCUGGACAAAUUGUGAAAUUUGUUUUCAUACUUCUGUCAAGUUAUUUCGGUUGUUUAGGUCAUGGAUUUUUCACGAUGAGUAUAAUGAAAUGUACGAUGGCGAAUAUGUAAUCUAUUAUUUAUAAUUAUGUACAUGGUUGAUCAUAUCUAAUCGCAAGCUACUAUAUAUAUAUAUAUAUAUGUAUAAUUUCUGAAAUUUAAAUUUCUUAAUCUUACUAACAAAUAAAAUAUUAAAUAAACGAAUAUCAUUAGCAUUAUUUAAACUUUACCACGAGAAUUUAUCUAUGUAUACACGUGUGUAUACAUAAUAUAUACAUAUUAAUUGUUAAUAAUUAUUAGCUUGGUUCUCAUUGAUUGUAAUACAUAGGAAUAUUAAUAUCUUUUAAGUUAAAUUACGACAUGGCGUACAUUGAAAGCCUUCGAUUAAUAUGUCAAUCAAAUUUAGUACGUACCAUAUAUAUAUAUAUAUAUAGUAUAGUAUAAUAUAGUAUAGUUGAUUAAUUAUUAUUUUACCGGCGUUAAUACCCUGUGGAUCUCUCGAAGCGUCGACUGCAACGAUUUCACCGAGCAUAACGAUCUUGUUGUCACAACUACAUCUACAUAUCCAGUGGGUAUCUCUUUCAAACAGCUACCAUCGCCAACUAUUAGACGUUCGAUAAUGAUAUGCGAGAAUUGCCAGGAACGAUUCCCGUUUAUCAAAUAUUCUGGUAGUUUUAGAUUUCGGUCGACUCCGAUCAAGUGCGUACUGUCCGAGUAAAAUCGUAUAUUUUCACCUGUAACAUUUAAACUUAAUGCAUGUAUAUCCACGUUACUUUGAUGCUUAUUUUUAUAAAACAGAAUUGCGUAGAUAUGUGUAUAAUACCUUAGAGGAAUAAUCUAAUCAACUUUAACUUUGGUAUAGUUGAGUCAUGUUACGUUCAUACCUAUGCAUACUGAAUUAUACAACAAGAAACGAAUUAACCUAAGGCGAUAACGUGAUCCUAUCAGCUGCCGAAUGUUAAUCGCCGAUGGUCUUUUGCAUUUUGCUAGGACGUUCGGAAAUACAUAUUGUGACAUUUGAAUAAAGAGAGUAAAUAUUAAGGCAGACACGAUUUUUAGAGAAACUUUUGUAUCGGUAUUUUGUAUCGUCUAACAAUAAAAGCGGGAAAUACCGUUGCAUUUCAAUGUUACUGAUAAAAGAGUUUCCUGUCGCAAAUUAUACUUGUGUAAUUUAUGACUACAGCUAUACUAUGUGACAUAAUCGACGCUCAUCAAAACAUUUGUAGGAUACAAGUUCUACGAUUGUAAUGUCAUUAAAUAUUCAAUAUAUUAAUAUAGAAAUAACAUAAGACGAUAUUGUCUAUCCUCUGUGAAAAGAUACAGUUACUUCGUAACAUCAAGUAUAUUGUAAUUUUGUCCUGCUUUACGUUGAUAUCGUGUAUCGAAGAAGUGUAGUUUAUGUGUGUUUUUAUUCAUUUCAUUUUAUUCGUUUUAUCACGCGUACCGAGCGAAGAUUCAAAGUCGAUUUUCUCGAAAACAAAGCCUCGAACGAACAAUCUUUAUUCUAUAUUUUCGACUUCUUUUUUCGCGUAGAAUCACCCCCUUUCCGCUUGUACCACCAGUUACCAACCACCCUGUUUGUACGUGUGCUUAUAGCGAAGUAACAGAAGUGCGCUUUCGAUACAACGAAUAAAGCUUAGACAGCGCGUAUAUGGAAGAAUAAGAAUUAUAUCGAAUAACGAAGUAUCUUUGUCUCUUAUAAUUUAUAAUUUAUAUUUAACGGUACAAUGAUACGUAGAUGCAAAGUCGUCGAAAUAAUACGUAUACUCCUUAUCAUUUUAUUACUCGUUACCAUUUCUGCUGCAUACAACGAUCUUUUAUCGCACGAAAUUAUAAUUAGUAGUACGCUGUUAAUACGCGAUUUAUUAUUUAAAUAUUUUUGUUCUUCCUUUUAUUAUCUUAAAUUUGACCCACUUGCGAGGAACAAUAUCUUCAAGUCUUUACGCUUAAUGCUUGAUGUUUAAUAUCGACGCUCGAUGCUCGUAGUGUAUAUUCAUUUAAUUAUUCUAAGUCGUAAAUAUCGUAAUGUAGCUGUGUUACAUACGUAUCCAGAAUAUCACGGAUAAUACGAGCGGUAUAAAGACAAAAAUUCCAAACAACUUUCCAACUGUCCAUUUGCAUUUUUGGAAGAAAAAAUUGAAACGAGUUCUAUAUGUGUUACGAUAUAAACCGCUGGUACAAAUAAAAAAUAAUUGCUCGA